rnacentral:lncRNA from 1 species
UAGCAUUACAUCAUGUAUCAAUCUUUCAUUCUAGACUGGACCACCUCUGGAAAAGCCCCACUUACGUCUGUCUGCAUGAGGCUUUGCGGGGACAUCUAAAUACAAGCCCUAACACAGUCAUAGACAGCACCGUGCAUGAUGGCUUAAGCAAGGCUGCCUAUUUCUAAGACUCGGGACAAAUGUACACCAGUGGUCAGAGCAAAGAGAAGAUGAGAUGACACAAUUAUCUUACGAUGUACCUACUGGUUGUCCAUCUCUUCCAUGAGGUACUGCAAGAUUCAAAGACUCCUGUCUCAGUUUACAUGAUGGGUAAACUAAGUGUUUCAAGAAGAAAAAGGCUGACGAUCUGAGCAAUAUCACGUGUUCACAAAAUCAAAGCAAAUUCAAUUAUAUCCUGAUUGCCAAGUGAUUUAGUCUACUUCCAAGAGAACACAAAGGUAGACUAUGUCAGCCAAAAGAGUACUUGAUUUGAACAGAUGAGGAUUUUGACUAAUCUUAAUUCAGAAGAACCAAAAUAAAACACUUUCAUAAAAGGGUAGAGGG